UUCCUACGGGAGGCUGCAGUGGGGGAUAUUGCACAAUGGAGGAAACUCUGAUGCAGCAACGCCGCGUGAGGGAAGACGGUUUUCGGAUUGUAAACCUCUGUCCUUGGUGACGAAACAAAUGACGGUAGCCAAGGAGGAAGCUCCGGCUAACUACGUGCCAGCAGCCGCGGUAAUACGUAGGGAGCAAGCGUUGUCCGGAUUUACUGGGUGUAAAGGGUGCGUAGGCGGCACUGCAAGUCAGGCGUGAAAUAUAUGUGCUUAACCCAUAGACUGCGUUUGAAACUGUGGUGCUUGAGUGAAGUAGAGGUAGGCGGAAUUCCCGGUGUAGCGGUGAAAUGCGUAGAGAUCGGGAGGAACACCAGUGGCGAAGGCGGCUUACUGGGCUUUAACUGACGCUGAGGCACGAAAGCAUGGGUAGCAAACAGGAUUAGAUACCCGGGUAGUCCAG
rnacentral:rRNA from 1 species